AGCUCUCAAGGUGUAUAUCGCCAUUGCUGCGGUUAAAAAGCUCGUAGUUGGAUCUACGGUUUCUGGAGCCGGUCCACCCAAGUGGUGCGAACUGGUCUCCAAGCCUCUAUUCGCUGGUCUACCCUUGAUGCUCUUAACCGAGUGUCCUGGGUGGCUAGUGAGUUUACUUUGAAAAAAUUAGAGUGCUCAAGACAGGCUUCUACGCCUGAAUAGUGGUGCAUGGAAUAAUAGAAUAGGACCUCGGUCCAUUUUAUUGGUUUUGGUCCCGAGAUAAUGGUUAAGAGGGACAGACGGGGGCAUUCGUAUCGCUGCGUGAGAGGUGAAAUUCUUGGACCGUAGCGAGACGAACUACUGCGAAAGCAUUUGCCAAGAAUGUCUUCA
rnacentral:rRNA from 1 species